UUGAACCAUGGCCUGGGCCCCUCUUCUCCUCGUGGUGCUCGCCCACAGCACAGGUUCCCUGGUCCAGGCAGCGGUGACUCAGCAGCCAUCCGAGGUGUCAGCCAACGUGGGGGACACGGUCAAGAUCACCUGCUCCGGUAGCAGCAGCAGCUAUGGCUGGCACCAGCAGUGCCCCUGUCACUGUGAUCUACUACAAUGACAAGAGACCCUCGGGCAUCCCUUCGCGAUUCUCCGGAUCCAGCUCCGGCGGCACGGGCACGUUAACCAUCACUGGGGUCCAAGCCGAGGACGAGGCUGUCUAUUUCUGUGGUAGCUAUGACAGCAGCAGUGGCAGCAGCUAUGGUGUGUGGCAACCAUGA